CUGGGGAUCGAAGUUCCAUGGAAUAUUCCAACGAUAGUGAUUCUUCUAGAAGCAUCAAGAAUGGCAGCGAAACUUUACUGAACAGGAACAAUAAGCCAAUGAAUGAGGAAAGUGUCGAUUCUAACAAGGAACCUCUGAAGAAAGAGAGAAGAGGACGAGGAUUUAGGAAUGCUAUUGGUAAGCGAAAGACAAGAGGGAGGAGAAAUCUUCUGAACUUCGCUUGUUAUAGUGGUAGCACUGAAGCCCACGCUCAAG
rnacentral:sRNA from 1 species